UACGUAGGGGGGCUAGCGUUGUCCGGAUUUAUUGGGCGUAAAGAGCGUGUAGGCGGCCAGGUAGGUCUGCUGUGAAAGCCCGAGGCUCAACCUCGGAACUGCCUUCGAUACUGCGGGUCUCGAGUCCGGGAGAGGUGAGUGGAAUUCCUAGUGUAGAGGUGAAAUUCGUAGAUAUUAGGAAGAACACCAGUGGCGAAGGCGGCUCACUGGCCCGGUACUGACGCUGAGGCGCGAAAGCGUGGGGAGCAAACAGGG
rnacentral:rRNA from 1 species